AAUCAACGCUGGCGGCGUGCCUCAGACAUGCAAGUCGAACGAUUAAAGCUCUCUUCGGAGAGUGCAUAGAGUGGCGCACGGGUGAGUAACACGUAAGUAAUCUACCUUCGAGUGGGGAAUAACGUCCGGAAACGGACGCUAAUACCGCAUAAUGCAGCGGCAUCGUAAGAUGACAGUUGUUAAAGAUUUAUCGCUUGAAGAGGAGCUUGCGGCAGAUUAGCUAGUUGGUAAGGUAAUGGCUUACCAAGGCUACGAUCUGUAACCGGUCUUAGAGGACGGUCGGUCACACUGACACUGAACAACGGGUCAGACUCCUACGGGAGGCAGCAGUCGGGAAUUUUGGGCAAUGGGCGAAAGCCUGACCCAGCAACGCCGCGUGAAGGAUGAAGUAUUUCGGUAUGUAAACUUCGAAAGAAUGGGAAGAAUAAAUGACGGUACCAUUUAUAAGGUCCGGCUAACUACGUGCCAGCAGACGCGGUAAGUCUCGCGUGA
rnacentral:rRNA from 1 species